GCAGCCGCAGGUGAGAUCUGCCUCCCUUCCAUAAGAUUUAGAAAUGGAACGGGUGCCAUCGAACUCCAUCUCUCUCUCUCUCUCUCUCUCUCUCUCUCUCUCUCUCUCUCUCCGAUUUGUUUACUGAUGUCCCCCAAAUCGAUUUGGUUUUAGACCAUCGGAGCACCCAUGCGUGUGGCCGGCUUUUCUAGCGCCCAAGCACCUAUCUUUUUGGCAAAAAUAACUGAAGUGUCCAUCCUUGCCCACUUGUAAAAAUCUGAUCCCUAACUGGCUUAUAAGUGAAGAUGCACGAGCCAUAAAAAUUGGUGAAAUGAUUGCAAGCAGGGAAGCACUUGGGUAUCCCUGUAUGAGUUGUUGAAUCAAUUUGCGGUGAAUCGGUUUGUAGUGAAUCAAUCUGGCACCCCUGUGGCCUGUGGUGUCAUCCUGCUGAAGCAUGAGGGUUGAAGACUUGAAGCUAGAGAUUGUCUAUGGACUAUACAGUGAUGAAAGUGUCAGACU